rnacentral:rRNA from 1 species
AUGCUGCCGGCCUGCUCUUUGCCCGGGUUAACUGCAAAAUCCGGGGUUGGAACUUGGAAGGAGGAGUUCUUCUUCUCGGAGUCAUCGGCGCCAUGGCCGUGCCCGGUGGAGUGGGGGGAGCCUUCCAGGUCCUCCGCCAUGGAUCCGGCCCUCACCGUCGAGGAGAAGGCCGUGGCGGAGAUCCUCAUGUGUGCUCGAGGGAGUUCUCUGAUUGAUCUGACCACCUAUCUCAGCAACCGCAACCUUGUCGCAGCCAAGAUCAUCGGGGCACCAUCACCGCCGCCAACUCCUCAAGCUCAAGUGGAGGACAUCCAGGCAGAGCAGGCAGCCACGGCCGCGGCCUCGCGCGCGUCGACAGGAAAGGUGACGGUUAAGGGCGAGCCGGACUGCAAGGUGCCUCCUUGUGCGCCGUCCCUUGGGAAGAAGAGGAAGCUGGAGGAGGGCCGUGGGGUCGACGGCGGGAGCUCGGCGUUGGACCUCUCUUGCCCGCCUGGCUUCUCCGCGCCCUGGAAGUCACCGCCCGUGACAGGCAAAGAUGGUGACCGGAAGGCGGCGAGGCUGCUGCUGCAGGGCACCGUCACGCCGUCGCGGGAGCGCGAGCUCGCCGCGUCCAAGCCCGCCGACGUCGUCGCCUCAAGCUACGUGUCGCUGCUCCAGGCGGCGAACGAGGUGUCAUUCUCGCUGGGCCACGCUCUGGAGCUGGAGGAGAAGCUGAGGGCGCGCGAGCGCGAGGCGGGCGGAGCUGCGGGAGGCGGACGCGCUGCGGGUGGAGCUGCGCGAGGCGAAGGACGAGCUGGCGGCGCGGGGGUCGAGCAGGGAGCACGCGCGCGCUCUGGCGGAGCGCGAGCGGCGGGGGCACGAGCGCGGCAUGGAGGACAUGAAGCGAGCCGUGCUUCGGCGCCACCCAGACCUCGACCUGGCGGGGCUCAUCGUGCCGCUCCAUGCUUCCCCGUAGGCGUGGCGGCGUCCACCGCCCGACGGUCGAAAUGCAUGUCUAAGAUUUCUUUCCUAUGGAGUGGCUGCUGCUAUCUGCAUUUCGCACUUCCGUUCAGCAGAGCCAUCUGCAUUUAG